rnacentral:rRNA from 1 species
CUGGAAACGGUAGCUAAUACCGCAUAACGUCUACGGACCAAAGUGGGGGACCUUCGGGCCUCACGCCAUCAGAUGUGCCCAGAUGGGAUUAGCUAGUAGGUGGGGUAAUGGCUCACCUAGGCGACGAUCCCUAGCUGGUCUGAGAGGAUGACCAGCCACACUGGAACUGAGACACGGUCCAGACUCCUACGGGAGGCAGCAGUGGGGAAUAUUGCACAAUGGGCGCAAGCCUGAUGCAGCCAUGCCGCGUGUGUGAAGAAGGCCUUAGGGUUGUAAAGCACUUUCAGCGAGGAGGAAGGGUUCAGUGUUUUUUUCUUUUUUUCAUUGACGUUACUCGCAGAAGAAGCACCGGCUAACUCCGUGCCAGCAGCCGCGGUAAUACGGAGGGUGCAAGCGUUAAUCGGAAUUACUGGGCGUAAAGCGCACGCAGGCGGUUUGUUAAGUCAGAUGUGAAAUCCCCGCGCUUAACGUGGGAACUGCAUUUGAAACUGGCAAGCUAGAGUCUUGUAGAGGGGGGUAGAAUUCCAGGUGUAGCGGUGAAAUGCGUAGAGAUCUGGAGGAAUACCGGUGGCGAAGGCGGCCCCCUGGACAAAGACUGACGCUC